GACGAACGCUGGCGGCGUGCCUAAUACAUGCAAGUAGAACGCUGAAGGAGGAGCUUGCUUCUCUGGAUGAGUUGCGAACGGGUGAGUAACGCGUAGGUAACCUGCCUGGUAGCGGGGGAUAACUAUUGGAAACGAUAGCUAAUACCGCAUAACAGUAGAUAUCGCAUGAUAGCUGCUUGAAAGGUGCAAUUGCACCACUACCAGAUGGACCUGCGUUGUAUUAGCUAGUUGGUGAGGUAACGGCUCACCAAGGCAACGAUACAUAGCCGACCUGAGAGGGUGAUCGGCCACACUGGGACUGAGACACGGCCCAGACUCCUACGGGAGGCAGCAGUAGGGAAUCUUCGGCAAUGGACGGAAGUCUGACCGAGCAACGCCGCGUGAGUGAAGAAGGUUUUCGGAUCGUAAAGCUCUGUUGUAAGAGAAGAACGAGUGUGAGAGUGGAAAGUUCACACUGUGACGGUAUCUACCAGAA
rnacentral:rRNA from 1 species